UGGUUAUGGGUGCACCCUGACCAGCCAAGUCGCGUGAAGGAUGAAGGUCUUAUGGAUUGUAAACUUCUUUUAUACAGGAAUAAAUUGGGGGACGUGUCCCCUUUUGCAUGUACUGUAUGAAUAAGGAUCGGCUAACUCCGUGCCAGCAGCCGCGGUAAUU
rnacentral:rRNA from 1 species